rnacentral:rRNA from 1 species
GCCCUUAGAGUUUGAUCCUGGCUCAGGAUGAACGCUGGCGGCGUGCCUAACACAUGCAAGUCGAGCGAUUUACUUCGGUAAAGAGCGGCGGACGGGUGAGUAACGCGUGGGUAACCUGCCCUGUACACACGGAUAACAUACCGAAAGGUAUGCUAAUACGAGAUAAUAUACUUUUAUCGCAUGGUAGAAGUAUCAAAGCUCUGGCGGUACAGGAUGGACCCGCGUCUGAUUAGCUAGUUGGUAAGGUAACGGCUUACCAAGGCGACGAUCAGUAGCCGACCUGAGAGGGUGAUCGGCCACAUUGGAACUGAGACACGGUCCAAACUCCUACGGGAGGCAGCAGUGGGGAAUAUUGCACAAUGGGCGAAAGCCUGAUGCAGCAACGCCGCGUGAGCGAUGAAGGCCUUCGGGUCGUAAAGCUCUGUCCUCAAGGAAGAUAAUGACGGUACUUGAGGAGGAAGCCCCGGCUAACUACGUGCCAGCAGCCGCGGUAAUACGUAGGGGGCUAGCGUUAUCCGGAAUUACUGGGCGUAAAGGGUGCGUAGGUGGUUUCUUAAGUCAGAGGUGAAAGGCUACGGCUCAACCGUAGUAAGCCUUUGAAACUGGGAAACUUGAGUGCAGGAGAGGAGAGUGGAACUCCUAGUGUAGCGGUGAAAUGCGUAGAUAUUAGGAGGAACACCAGUUGCGAAGGCGGCUCUCUGGACUGUAACUGACACUGAGGCACGAAAGCGUGGGGAGCAAACAGGAUUAGAUACCCUGGUAGUCCACGCCGUAAACGAUGAGUACUAGCUGUCGGAGGUUACCCCCUUCGGUGGCGCAGCUAACGCAUUAAGUACUCCGCCUGGGAAGUACGCUCGCAAGAGUGAAACUCAAAGGAAUUGACG